CGAGUGUGAGCUCUUUCAAGACCAGACUUGACCAACACUGGAACAGGUUCAGGUACAUUCAGGAGCCAGUACAUGCCCAGUACUUGCCAACAGUGUGUAACAGAGAUGUGACCGAUCGCCCAAACGGCAAACUAGGCGAUCAGUGUUGAAGAGGAUAAAAUUUCCCAGCCAAAGCCUCGUGGUUUGACAGAGCGGGGUCGGCUACCAGCGACGUCUACCUCCUAUAUAAGCUCCUCAGCCUAGCCGUGAAGGCCUCUCUACUCCACGCUCCCGAACCAACAAGACCUCUCAACAAGCUCCUUAUCCAACACCUCCUCUCAGCAAGCUCCUUAUCCAACACGUCCUCUCAGCAAGCUCCUUAUCCAACACCUCCUCUCAGCAAGCUCCUUAUCCAACACCACCUCUCAGCAAGCUCCUUAUCCAACACCUCCUCUCAGCAAGCUCCUAACCUCACAGCAACUUCCCAGCACCAGACUGCGCUGUACAUUCAAUAUAUUUAUAUAAGAAAACCACCCUAAAGAGUUUCCUUUCUCCAACCCAUCCUGAGUGCGAGACAACAUCACGAAAUCCGGCAAGAUCUCUUACUCUCGCAAUUUUCUCAAACACUGUUGAAUUUAUCAAACAAACAAUUAAGUGUAAUACAUAAUGUGAGUAAUGAAAGUUUGGAACACAUACAAUUAUUUUUUUUUUAAUUUCAAUUACUUAAUAUUUGUUUUUGUUAUUAUUAUACUAGUAGUAGAGGAUUGCUAGUACCUAUGCAGUUAACAAGAGUACAGUAAAAGUGUAUGAAUAAAUUUGUGGAAAAAUAAAAAUAUAUACUGUA